AUCAGAUGUCAUUGCAUUGCACUGUGACAAUAUCAGCACCAUAGCUCUCGCUAAAAAGCCCAUGUCUCACCAGAAGUCCAAGCACAUAGAGUGACGUUUCACAUCAUAUGCAAAUAAUUCGAGAAGAAGUUCGUCGAGGUGCAGAGAGUCGACUCCGCACUGAACGUGAUGGACCUACUGACCAAGCCUCUCAGCCAGCA
rnacentral:lncRNA from 1 species